rnacentral:tRNA from 1 species
GUCCCUGUAGCGCAAUGGAUAGCGCGUUGGACCUCUAAUCCAAAGGUCGUGGGUUCGAAUCCCACCUGGGAUG